UACGAAGGGGGCUAGCGUUGUUCGGAAUUACUGGCGUAAAGCGUGCGCAGGCGGCUUCUCAAGUCAGGGGUGAAAGCCCAGAGCUCAACUCUGGAACUGCCUUUGAGACUGAGAGGCUUGAGUACGGGAGAGGUGAGUGGAAUUCCCAGUGUAGAGGUGAAAUUCGUAGAUAUGGGGAGGAACACCGGUGGCGAAGGCGGCCACCUGGACGGUAACUGACGCUGAGACGCGAAAGCGUGGGAGCAAACAGG
rnacentral:rRNA from 1 species